rnacentral:rRNA from 1 species
AGCGAACGCUGGCGGCAUGCCUAACACAUGCAAGUCGCACGGGGGGGCUUCGGCCUCCCAGUGGCGGACGGGUGAGGAACGCGUAGGGACCUGUCGAGGGGUGGGGGAUAACCGCGGGAAACUGCGGCUAAUACCGCAUGACGCCGCGGCGUGACAGCCGGGGCCAAAGGCGAAAGCCGCCCGCCGAGGGGCCUGCGUCCGAUUAGCUGGUUGGCGGGGUAGCGGCCCACCAAGGCGUCGAUCGGUAGCUGGUCUGAGAGGGUGAUCAGCCACACCGGGACUGAGACACGGCCCGGACUCCUACGGGAAGCAGCAGUGGGGAAUAUUGGACAAUGGGCGCAAGCCUGAUCCAGCAAUGCCGCGUGGGUGAAGAAGGUCUUCGGAUUGUAAAGCCCUUUUGGCGGGGACGAUGGUGACGGUACCCGCAGAAGAAGCCCCGGCUAACUUCGUG